rnacentral:rRNA from 1 species
ACAGCAGUCGCCGCGGGAAUACGGGGGGGGCAAGUGUUAUUCGGAAUUACUGGGCGUAAAGCGCACGUAGGCGGUUUAUCAAGUCAGAGGUGAAAGCCCGGGGCUCAACCCCGGAACUGCCUUUGAAACUAGUAGACUUGAAUCUUGGAGAGGUCAGUGGAAUUCCGAGUGUAGAGGUGAAAUUCGUAGAUAUUCGGAAGAACACCAGUGGCGAAGGCGACUGACUGGACAAGUAUUGACGCUGAGGUGCGAAAGCGUGGGGAGCAAACAGGAUUAGAUACCCGCGUAGUCCCUGUCUCUUAUAC